UACUAUGUUACGACUUAUCUCAUCUUAAUUAACGAGAGCGACGGGCGAUGUGUGCACAUCUUAGAGCUCUAAUCACAACAAUAAUAUAUACAAAAUUACUAUCAAAUCCACCUUCAUACUAAAAUUACAACUAAUAAUUCAUUAUUCAUUAUUGAAAUGUAAUCCAUCUCCACUUAAUUAUAAGCUGCACCUUGACCUGAAAUACUACUAAAUCAAAUAUCAAGAAAAUACCCUAAAAAGAUUUUCAAUAAACGGCGGUAUACAUACUAAAUAAAAUCAAGUAAGGUUCAACGCGGACUAUCGAUUAUAGGACAGAUUCCUCUGAACAGACUAAGAUACCGCAAAUUCUUUAAGUUUUAAGACCAUAACUAAUACUACUCAAGUUUAAAUAAAUUAUAUCUACAAUAUAAGGGUAUCUAAUCCUAGUUU
rnacentral:rRNA from 1 species